rnacentral:rRNA from 1 species
GAAAGAUGAAAAGAACUUUGAAAAGAGAGUUAAACAGUACGUGAAAUUGUUGAAAGGGAAACGAUUGAAGUCAGUCAUACCAACGGGAAAUCAACCUCUUGAGCUCGGUCUCGUGGGUUUUGAAGAGUUUCAAAGCCUUCGGAUUCGCGGGAUUGGGAUCUCUUGGUGUACUUUUUCGUACGGUUAGUCAACAUCGGUUUUGAAUGUCAUAAAAUAACUGGAGGAAUGUAGCUUCGAUCUCGUAUUGAAGUGUUAUA